GUCAUGGCUCACAGGAAGGGAAGCUGAGUGUUGGGGAUGGACUCUACUAACCACUAGUGAAUGGGGGUCCUCAUGGGAUCAUCUCAAACUCUCCCUGUCUAGAGGUCAUUGCAAAUGCCCCUGUCUGCCUGAUCUGGGGUAGAAUGGGUGGUGGGCAUCUCCCCCACUGGUAAUGCCAGGUCUUGAGCUUCCUGGCCGGGCACCAGGCUCUGUAUUUGCAGAGCUCCAGCCAUAAAGUCGUAGAGGAGAAGGUUGACAGGAUCAUUGAUGCCAGCAAUGGGCACAGAGGACAAGUGUAUGAAGCCAGGAAAUCCGUCCAGUGCCAAACUGAGUAUCCUAUGGACCAAAACGUCGUAGAAAAGCAGGUUGAUAGGUUCAGUGAUGCCAGCAACAGGUACAGAGGACAAGUGUAUGAGGCCAGGAAAUCCGUCCAGUGCCAAACUGAGUAUCCUGUGGACCAAG